CCCCCUAUCGGUCAUCGGCUCGCUCUGCAGGCACACAGGGAACGCGCUUCCGCUGCAGUCUUUGUGACCUCGCUACACAGUUGCUCUCCGUGAGAAGAGAAGCUGUUUGUGUUAUUAACGUUUGUGUUAUCGUUCGUGGACGGUGGAAAACAGCUUUGCUAGGAGCUUUAAACAAUGAUGCCCUUUACUCGAAAUCGACGUGGGCUUAACUUUGGAUAUUGGAGCCUGUUUUUAAUCGUGACGUCGACAAAAACGAAGCUUAUCAGCAGCUUUCACCGUCUUCAUGUUUGCUGACGUGUGGGAUCAGGCACAAAGGAGCUGCUAGUAUGUUUUUAGAGCCUCUGAAUGUCGGGAUGCAGCUGCAGUCGGCUCAGCAGUGAGAACUGAAGACGUCAGUCAAAGAGAAGGAAAAACAGUCAGAGCUGAGAGAGUUUCUACCAGAGCCAAAUGUCAUCUACUCCUCACUGAAGUCGUCCACCAGUCCAACCACUGGGAUCCAGCUGCUGCUCUCUAACUGGUCCACACAGCAGCUCAGACCUGACACAUUCACUGUAAACACACUGGUUUAUAUUCUGUUUGUUCUCCUCAUGAAGGAAACCUCAGAAGAUCUGAAAUGUGAGUGUGUGUCUGCCCCUCAUUGGUUGUUUCUGUCUGAUGGAAACAUGAAUUCUUGUGGCUAACAAACACACCUGUCUGAGAUAACAAAGAACAAACAUGAGUCGACUUCAGCCACAAAGUAAAACCUGCAGGAACGUUUGGUCAGUUUUUGUCUCAGGAGUCAUAAAGAGAACAUCUGUAACAUGUGUCCUCAUUCAGCCUGAGAAUCCUGGAGACUCAGACGAUCAUUUUAACCUCUGCUUUAUAACUAAAGUGCUCAGCAGCAAGUUUUCAUGAAGUCAGACUGAAGUGAAAGAAGGACUCAGACAAAAUCUCUUUAAUGUGUUUAUUUAAAGUUCAUAGAGGAAUGAAUCACUGUUUAUGUGAUGUUUGAUGUUACAGCUGUCUGUGUCACUGUGAGAUAUGAAUGAAUUUACAUUUCUCUAUUUUAACAGGUUCAAAUGUGGUUUGUUUUAUGAUGGAGAUACUUUACUUCAUUAAUAAACGUCCUUCAUCUGCAA